rnacentral:rRNA from 1 species
GAUGAACGCUGGCGGCGUGCCUAAUACAUGCAAGUCGAGCGAACAGACGAGGAGCUUGCUCCUCUGACGUUAGCGGCGGACGGGUGAGUAACACGUGGAUAACCUACCUAUAAGACUGGGAUAACUUCGGGAAACCGGAGCUAAUACCGGAUAAUAUAUUGAACCGCAUGGUUCAAUAGUGAAAGACGGUUUUGCUGUCACUUAUAGAUGGAUCCGCGCCGCAUUAGCUAGUUGGUAAGGUAACGGCUUACCAAGGCAACGAUGCGUAGCCGACCUGAGAGGGUGAUAGGCCACACUGGAACUGAGACACGGUCCAGACUCCUACGGGAGGCAGCAGUAGGGAAUCUUCCGCAAUGGGCGAAAGCUUGACGGAACAACGCCGCGUGAGUGAUGAAGGUCUUCGGAUCGUAAAACUCUGUUAUUAGGGAAGAACAAAUGUGUAAGUAACUAUGCACGUCUUGACGGUACCUAAUCAGAAAGCCACGGCUAACUACGUG